rnacentral:rRNA from 1 species
ACCCGCUGAACUUAAGCAUAUCAAUAAGCGGAGGAAAAGAAACCAACAGGGAUUGCCCUAGUAACGGCGAGUGAAGCGGCAACAGCUCAGAUUUGAAAUCUGGCGUCUUUGGCGUCCGAGUUGUAAUUUGUAGAGGAUGCUUUUGGGUUGCCACCGGUCUAAGUUCCUUGGAACAGGACGUCAUAGAGGGUGAGAAUCCCGUAUGUGACCGGCUUAGGCACCCUUUGUAAAGCUCCUUCGACGAGUCGAGUUGUUUGGGAAUGCAGCUCUAAAUGGGAGGUAAAUUUCUUCUAAAGCUAAAUACCGGCCAGAGACCGAUAGCGCACAAGUAGAGUGAUCGAAAGAUGAAAAGCACUUUGGAAAGAGAGUUAAAAAGCACGUGAAAUUGUUGAAAGGGAAGCGCUUGCAAUCAGACUUGCCCGCGGUUGUUCAGCCGGUCUUCUGACCGGUUUACUCUUCCGUGGGCAGGCCAGCAUCAGUUUCGGCGGCCGGAUAAAGGCCUUGGGAAUGUAGCACCCCCUCGGGGGUGUGUUAUAGCCCAGGGUGUAAUACGGCCACCCGGGACUGAGGUCCGCGCUUCGGCUAGGAUGCUGGCGUAAUGGUUGU